UACGGGGGAGCAAGCGUUGUUCGGAUUUACUGGGCGUAAAGGGCGCGUAGGCGGUCAGCACAAGUCAGUUGUGAAAUCUCCGAGCUUAACUCGGAAAGGUCAACUGAUACUGUGCGACUAGAGUGCAGAAGGGCAACUGGAAUUCUCGGUGUAGCGGUGAAAUGCGUAGAUAUCAAGAGGAACACCUGAGGUGAAGACGGUUGCUGGCUGACACUGACGCUGAGGCGCGAAAGCUAGGGUAGCAAACGG
rnacentral:rRNA from 1 species